rnacentral:rRNA from 1 species
AUUGAACGCUGGCGGCAUGCCUUACACAUGCAAGUCGAACGGCAGCACGGGAGCAAUCCUGGUGGCGAGUGGCGAACGGGUGAGUAAUAUAUCGGAACGUGCCCAGUCGUGGGGGAUAACGUAGCGAAAGCUACGCUAAUACCGCAUACGAUCUAUGGAUGAAAGCGGGGGAUCGCAAGACCUCGCGCGAUUGGAGCGGCCGAUAUCAGAUUAGGUAGUUGGUGNGGUAAAGGCUCGCCAAGCCGACGAUCUGUAGCUGGUCUGAGAGGACGACCAGCCACACUGGGACUGAGACACGGCCCAGACUCCUACGGGAGGCAGCAGU